rnacentral:rRNA from 1 species
AGUGAACGCUGGCGGUAGGCCUAACACAUGCAAGUCGAACGGCAGCACAGUAAGAGCUUGCUCUUACGGGUGGCGAGUGGCGGACGGGUGAGGAAUACAUCGGAAUCUACUUUUUCGUGGGGGAUAACGUAGGGAAACUUACGCUAAUACCGCAUACGACCUACGGGUGAAAGCAUGGGAUCUUCGGACCUUGCGCGAUUGAAUGAGCCGCUGUCGGAUUAGCUAGUUGGCGGGGUAAAGGCCCACCAAGGCGACGAUCCGUAGCUGGUCUGAGAGGAUGAUCAGCCACACUGGAACUGAGACACGGUCCAGACUCCUACGGGAGGCAGCAGUGGGGAAUAUUGGGCAAUGGGCGCAAGCCUGAUCCAGCCAUACCGCGUGGGUGAAGAAGGCCUUCGGGUUGUAGAGCCCUUUUGUUGGGAAAGAAAAGCAGCAGGUUAAUACCCCGCUGUUCUGACGGUACCCAAAGAAUAAGCACCGGCUAACUUCGUG